UCAUUUCAGUAAUUCUCUCUCAUUCUCUCUCUUACCCUCGUAUACACUGCAAGAACCAAGAACAAUCACAAACUAGUACCAACGUCCAAUCUAAGAUCACCAUCGUGAUCUUGGGAACUUCACAAGCACGGGGGUAUAAGUUUCAGGUUAAACAAAGAUCACCACGAGUCUUAGGAAGUCCCAAGGAGGCUCGGAGUGCCUCGUUUGAACAAAAUGGACGUCGGGAUCAAUGGUUUCGAGUUUGGCCGAGUUUGAGGAAUUUUGAAAAGGUGGGUCAUAUAACGAGGACGAGCAUAACCAGGGGCGUCAAGGGGGUUACGACCCGGCGACAUACCAGUUCUAGUCGAUAGUUGAGGCGUUGGUGACUUGCGAGGACUACUUCGGUGUUUCUGACAGAAUAAAUAAUGUAGGACUCACCCGAGGGUGUGGUAAAAUAGCUAUGUUCCUACUUGACUGCACCUAGAUGCUUAUGCUCUGUUUAUGUGUGUUUAGUACACUCUUAUGCACAUAGAAUGCUAGGUUGUAAACAAUUGUAUAAUUAGUGGUUUUUGUUGACUCGUAUUUUAUUAUUAAA